CCUAUUUUUGGGGGACAACGGGUCGAAGGGGACGCUAAUACCGCAUACGUCCUACGGGAGAAAGCAGGGGAUCACUUGUGACCUUGCGCUAAUAGAUGAGCCUAAGUCGGAUUAGCUAGUUGGUGGGGUAAAGGCCUACCAAGGCGACGAUCUGUAGCGGGUCUGAGAGGAUGAUCUGCCACACUGGGACUGGAGACACGGCCCAGACUCCUACGGGAGGCAGCAGUGGGGAAUAUUGGACAAUGUGGGGAAUCCUGAUCCAGCCAUGCCGCGUGGUGUGAAGAUAGGCCUUAUGGUUGUAAAGCACUUUAAGCGAGGAGGAGGCUCUUUUGGUUAAUACCCUAGAUGAGUGGACGUUACUCGCAGAAUAAGCACCGGCUUACUCUGUGGCAGCAGCUGCGGUAAUACAGAGGGGUGCAAGCGUUAAUCGGAUUUACUGGGCGUAAAGCGCGCGUAGGCGGCCAAUUAAGUCAAAAUGUGAAAUCCCCGAGCUUAACUUGGGAAUUGCAUUCGAUACUGGUUGGCUAGAGUGUGGGAGAGGAUGGUAGAAUUUCAGGUGUAGCGGUGAAAUGCGUAGAGAUCUGGAGGAAUACCGAUGGCGAAGGCAGCCAUCUGGCCUAACACUGACGCUGAGGUGCGAAAGCAUGGGGAGCAAACAGGAUUAGAUACCCUGGUAGUCCAUGCCGUAAACGAUGUCUACUAGCCGUUGGGGCCUUUGAGGCUUUAGUGGCGCAGCUAACGCGAUAAGUAGACCGCCUGGGGAGUACGGUCGCAAGACUAAAACUCAAAUGAAUUUGACGGGGGCCCGCACAAGCGGUGGAGCAUGUGGUUUAAUUCGAUGCAACGCGGAAGAACCCUUACCUGGCCUUGACAUAGUAGAAACUUUCCAGAGAUGGAUUGGUGCCUUCGGGAAUCUACAUACAGGUGCUGCAUGGCUGUCGUCAGCUCGUGUCGUGAGAUGUUGGGUUAAGUCCCGCAAACGAGCGCAACCCUUUUCCUUACUUGCCAGCAUUUCGGAUGGGUACUUUAAGGAUACUGCCAGUGACAAACUGGAGGAAGGCGGGGACGACGUCAAGUCAUCAUGGCCCUUACGGCCAGGGCUUACACACGUGCUCACAAUGGUCGGUACAAAGGGUUGCUACUUAGCGAUAGGAUGCUAAUUUCAGAAAGCCGAUCUGUAUGUCCGGAUUGGAGUCUGCAACUCGACUCCAUGAAGUCGGAAUCGCUAGUAAUCGCGGAUCAGAAUGCCGCGGUGAAUACGUUCCCGGGCCUUGUACACACCGCCCGUCACCCCCUCGGAGUUUGUUGCACCAGAAGUAGCUAGCCUAACCCCCCCCCCUCAUUUUUUUCUUGCCGGGCGCGGUGCGGGGCUCACCUCGCUAGAGUUACCCCA
rnacentral:rRNA from 1 species